rnacentral:tRNA from 1 species
AUGAUUCAAUCUUUUGUCUUACAAUUUCUAAAAAAUCAAAAUAUUUAAAUCAAAUAAAAGAAAUGAAGUAAAUUCAAGGGUUUUAAAAGUAGAAAACAUA